UACGGGGGGAGCAAGCGUUGUUCGGAUUUACUGGGCGUAAAGGGCGCGUAGGCGGCCUCUGCAAGUCGACUGUGAAAUCUCCAGGCUUAACCCGGAAAGGUCAGCCGAUACUGCAGGGCUAGAGUGCAGAAGGGGCAACUGGAAUUCUCGGUGUAGCGGUGAAAUGCGUAGAUAUCGAGAGGAACACCUGCGGCGAAGGCGGGUUGCUGGGCUGACACUGACGCUGAGGCGCGAAAGCUAGGGGAGCGAACGGG
rnacentral:rRNA from 1 species